UGGCCAGAUAGAGACAGGAAGACUGGAGAUGCCCUGGAUGCAGUGGGAGGCCAUGGCCUUUUCAAGUGAACCUAUGAAGUAGGUACAAAAGCUGCCAUUAUUCUCAUUUCCCAAGGAAGAAAAUGAAACUCAAAGGUUAGUCAUUUGACUCAACUUUGGCCACACAGCUGAUAAAAAUGGAAGAUAGGAUUCAAAGUCGGGUUUCAAAUGCAGAAUUUACUACAUCAUCUUUCCUCUCAUACUUGUUCCAUUAUUGUCUGCCAUCAGAGCAUUACUAUCUGUCUGGUCGAGAAUGUCUUCUUCGGAAAUAUUUUACCCGGGGGGUCAGAAGGGAGAAAGCUGCUUUUGCUCUAAAGUCACAUUUAUAUCAUGUGACAAGUAGGAAACGGCUACACUCACAGUUCAGGCUAGAACUAGCUUAUUCUACCUUUCAUUUUAUUUUAUUUCAUAGUAGAACCAUAAUCUUUGCCGAGAAAAGCACAGAGCACAUACCAACAACAGACUUGUUGAUCUGGCCACUGGGGAAAAAAAGAUGGAAGGGUAGUGAGGUUCGAUUAAGAAAAUGCAUGUAAAACAUCCUGAAAUCCCUACAUAAUUCAAGAAAUAUUCAUGAAGGUACCAGCUGUGUAAGGGUAUUUGGAACCACAGAAAGUACCAGACUUGGACUGAUCUCCGGAUGCUAAUGCUCACCAACCCAGUAACCACAGCAAUCACUUCAACUUUCUGAACCUCAGCAGCAAUUUUACCAGUCACCCAUGUUAAAGUUGGAAAUUUUUAAGCGGAUGGAGACCCAACACCCAAGAAAAACACAAAUCUUUGAUUUCUGUUCAAGACAUAGUUCAGC